rnacentral:misc_RNA from 1 species
GAUACCCCAACACCUGAAUAUUUUCCACAUAAGGCAGAGGCGGAGAGCGUGGAAAGCAGAAAACUUUUCUUUUCAAAUCAUCUUUCAUUCUGGCCCUCACAUAUGAACCAAGCGUAGUGUUGCCUUCUCUAGCUAUAUCUUUUAAGAAAAAGAGUAUGGGCCUUUUACAAAUAGGUUUGUGAGGAUCCCUGGUGUCCAAAUCAAAUUCAUGCCCAUGUCUAAUCCCAUUCCAAGCAGAGUAGGUGUUUUCUGAGCGCUCAAGUAUUCGGGGAAGAACAGUGUUUGGAAACACUUGAAUGACAUAACCAAGUGAGACAGAAAAAGUUAGGUGGUAUGCAUGGUCAUAACAGAUUGAUCGCUGCAAAAAGCUUAAGGGGUCAGCAGUCAUGGCUUUGGUGAAGAGUUUCAAGCUAUCCAAAGAGCUCAUGCCAGGAUAAAAAGGAUCGACAGCUUCAACAUGAUGAAUGGAUACAAAGGGUGCAAUCGGAUGAGAGGACAGAAGACCAUGUGCAUUACCUCUAAUAUCCCACUGGUGGAACCCUUGUUCUCUGGACA